GCCUGGGUGGCUCAGCCGGUUGAGUGUCUGACUUCGGCUCAGGUCAUGAUCUCACAGUUCGUGAGUUCGAGCCCCACGUCGGGCU
rfam:Felis catus isolate Cinnamon breed Abyssinian chromosome B2, whole genome shotgun sequence.